GGUGGCUCAGUGGUAGAGCACAUGCCUUGCAUGCAUGAGGCCCUGGGUUCAAUUCCUCAGCACCA
rfam:Dipodomys ordii contig_2556, whole genome shotgun sequence.